AAUAAUCUGAAUGUCGACCUGCAGGUUAGGUUACGUUGUUAGGGUGAUCAUCUUAACUCUUAGGAAUUUCGCAACACAAAGGGAAAUUUGGUGCUCGGAUUGUUCAGAACUUAAAAUCUCAGGCAUGGAGUGAUGAGUUGAGCUGUAUUAAUAGUGAAGCUAGCUCUGCCCACCCACACAGUCAAUCAACGGACAUUACCGAUAGUUAAGAUGUACAAAAGUUUGCAGAGGAAUGUAAGAAGUGCCUUGUUAAGUUGAGGGCUGUCAUGGUUAAGGUUAGAAACAUGCAUGCCGAGUUGUCUACUUGGAUGAACUCUCCCGGUGGAGCAUCAAUAUGAGCCCCGGGAACUAGCCACACCCAAAGAGGGUUAGAGACACUGGGUACCGAGGUCCACGAACCACUGACGGUCAGGUCUCGUGUUCUUUUGAUGUCCUGUGGCUUAGAAGAAAAUUUUGCUAAGGGGAUCAUGUUGACCGCCCCUCUUCCAGGUGAUAUGCUAGCAAUAGUUAAAGUCUUUGUAAGGGCUAUCACGGUUCCGGAGACCUCAAUUAUUCUGCCAACAAUUAGUUGAGCACGUACCCUCGGUGAGUGCCACACAUGAGUUCCUCCGCCGUACUUUUGACGUUUCAUGAGCAUCCACACCCCAUGUUUAUGUGUUGAACCUAGAUUGAUCGAUGCCUUACUUGUUUUUACUAUAUUUUGAACAAGGCUUGCGUAUAAUUUUGACAUCGCUUAUUAGAUCAUUUUGCGUAAUAAGUAUAUAAUUUUGGCUUGUUUGCCUUUUAGGUAGUCCUUCUGUUCAUA